GAUGAACGCUGGCGGCGUGCCUAAUACAUGCAAGUCGAGCGAACGGACGAGAAGCUUGCUUUUCUGAUGUUAGCGGCGGACGGGUGAGUAACACGUGGAUAACCUACCUAUAAGACUGGGAUAACUUCGGGAAACCGGAGCUAAUACCGGAUAAUAUUUUGAACCGCAUGGUUCAAAAGUGAAAGACGGUCUUGCUGUCACUUAUAGAUGGAUCCGCGCUGCAUUAGCUAGUUGGUAAGGUAACGGCUUACCAAGGCAACGAUGCAUAGCCGACCUGAGAGGGUGAUCGGCCACACUGGAACUGAGACACGGUCCAGACUCCUACGGGAGGCAGCAGUAGGGAAUCUUCCGCAAUGGGCGAAAGCCUGACGGAGCAACGCCGCGUGAGUGAUGAAGGUCUUCGGAUCGUAAAACCCUGCUAUUAGGGAAGAACAUAUGUGUAAGUAACUGUGCACAUCUUGACGGUACCUAAUCAGAAAGCCACGGCUAACUACGUG
rnacentral:rRNA from 1 species